GCCGGGGUGGCUCAGAUGGUUAGAGCGCCGGACUCAUAAUCCGGAGAUCGCGGGUUCGAGUCCCGCCCCCGGCACCA
rnacentral:tRNA from 1 species